GAAGGUAGCAUAAUAAUUUGCCUUUUAAUUGAAGGCUGGAAUGAAGGGCUGAACACGAUAAUAGCUGUCUCUUAUUUAUUUUAUAGAAAUUAACUUUCUAGUGAAUAGGCUAGAAUAAAGGAAAAAGACAAGAAGACCCUACGAGUUUAUUAUUUAGCUGGGGCGGCUACAGAGAGAAAUAAACCUCUGUAUUAAUUAAUUCUUUAAGGAGGAAACUUUUAUAAGAAUGGGCAAACUACCGUAGGGAUAACAGGAUAAUUUAUUUUUAGAGUUCUAAUCGAAAAAAAAGUUUAUUACCUCGAUGUUGGAUUAGGGAUCCUUAAAGGAGCAAAAGCUUUUAGAAGGGAGUCUGUUCGACUUUUAAUCCCCUACAU
rnacentral:rRNA from 1 species